AAUCGAUUCAGUGAUGCAUCGCGAUGCAGCCAUUAACGAUUCAGGGGUCAGUGACGUCAUUGCACAAUGUCACAUGACCCCGCCUCUCACAGAGCAGUAUAUUCAGAGAAGCCGACAUAAGGGAGUCUGUCUCUGGGUUUUACACCAGCUGCACCACAUCAGGACUUUCUGUGUGCACACUGCGCAGAUAUCUGACACGGAGAGCACUCUCAACAGACCUCCCCUCUCACACACAAAUGUUCCGGUCAGGAAUUUUUAUGACACCUAAUGCCGACAGCAGCCUGAUGUAAACAGUGAAUUUUUUCUUGUAUUAUCGAUUCACUGUUGCAGUCUCUGCUGCAUGUUUGCUCUCUGUCAUAUCCCUAGCCCAAACGAGCAUUUAUGGGUUGCUAUUAGAUAUAGUAUGUCAAGUUUUACUAUAUUUGAAAAUUAUACAAUAGGAUUGUAAAAAAUAUAAAAAAAUUAUGCCAAUUUAUUUAUGGGCUACUGGGAACAUCAAUUUCUACUAAAUUACCCACUUGGGGCAAGCCUGGUGUCCUUUAAAAGAUACAUUGAUGAUAUUUUAAUUAUUUGGCGAGGAAGCUGCCUAUCCCUAGAUAAAUUUGUUGAAGAUAUGAACUCUAAUGAUAUUAAUCUUAAAUUUACUCACACUCGUGAUAAAACCACUAUCAACUUUCUUGAUUUGGAAAUUUUUGUAGAGGGCAAUGAAUUAAAUGCCAGAACUUUUUUCAAAAAAGUUGAUGCUAACAGCUAUAUAAACUACACAAGCUGCCACCACAAAAAAUGGUUGGACAAAAUUCCCAAAGGGCAGUUUCUGCGAAUUCGUAAAAACUGUACAAAUUUGACAGAUUUUGAAAAUCAGUCAAAUUUAGUGAAACAAAAAUUCCUAGAGAGAGGGUAUGGGGAAAGUGACAUAGAUAAAACUCUUAAUGAGGUCAGAUUAGUUGAUAGAAACUCCUUAUUAAUCCCCAAACGCAAACAGACCACAUACACCACCCACAAGGAUAGAGAGGGGAGGGAGCAGACAUUCAUUCCUUUCAUUACAAAUUAUAGUCAAAAUAAAAAUUUGCUAGAGAGAAUUCUGAAUAAGCAUUGGAAAUUACUCAAAAAUGAUGAAAUACUAGGUCCCGUUCUUCCACCUAGACAACAAAUAGUAUAUAAAAAAAACUAAAAAUCUUAAGACCAUCUUGGCCCCUACACUUAGUAUAAAGAAUUCUGUGAAUAGCUUUAACCAACUCGACAUAAAAGGCAAUAGUCUAACGGGUUUUUACCCUUGUAAAUCUUGUGAGCAUUCAAGUAAAUGUAAAGAAUUUAAAUCAAACACAACAGGAAAAUCAUAUAAGAUAAAAGAUCUUAUUAGAUGCUCUGAUAGUAAUAUUAUUUACAUCAUCCAGUGCAAAUGUGGUUUGCAAUAUACAGGCGAGACCUCGAGACCCCUACGUACUCGUAUCAGGGAACAUAUGUGGUCUAUAGAAAACUUCACACUCAAAAGAAACAAAGACCUACCAAUUGCUAAACAUUUUGGCAUUUGCAAUAAUGGGAAUUUAAGCCACUUCUCCUUUCUAGGAAUAGAAAAGGUAAAAAAGAAAUGGAGAGGAGGAAAUAUACAUAACGAUCUUUUAAAAAGAGAAAGUAAAUGGAUCUUUGAUUUAAAAACCCUACAACCCCAAGGUCUUAAUGUCGAUUUCGACAUUGGUUGCUUCCUAAAUGACUGACCUCUUAUUCCAUCCAUAACCCUAGUUUACAUUUAUAUAUUUUUUCUGGGGUCAUUUGCUGUUCCCCUCAAAUUAUAUCUUUUUUAAUGUUGCUAAUAUUUCUUAUAUAUCUUUUAUAUUUUUAUAUAUAUUUUUUACAAUCCUAUUGUAUAAUUUUCAAAUAUAUUAUACUUUUCGGCAAACAUUUUGUAUUGCGUAUGGCGCUUCCUUGUAUGUCCGAUGGACCUAUGGUGCGGAUUAAGUAUAACCAAAGUUGUGCAUCUCAAAGGAUAUGUAUAUACAUACAUGAAUGUUUUUUUGAUUGAAAGUGUGAUACAGUAUAUGAAGUAGAUACGUUAAACCAUUGAGCUAAUUGAAUAGUAGUGUUCGAGAAUGACUUUCGAAUAUAUACGCCCACUUAAGCAAAAUAACCAAUAGCCUGAUUACAACGGCUAUAUAUAGCAUAAUCUUACUUAUCGUUGGGAGCUUGAAAAAGACCCUGCUUACGGGUUGAAACGCGUUGCUCUGCUUUGUUUGUUUUUUGUCUCUCUUCGGCUUCCGUAGGUGCAGUCUCCCAGUUACCUGUGUGCAAAGGUGUUUGCUACUAUCCAUGCUGGGCUGAAUUUGCUGCUUCCUGCGGUUUGGAGAUUUAUGCCACUGAGAGGAACAUAUAGGACCAAACCACCGACCUCCGAUUUUCAACUGAAGAUUAAAAUCCUUCUUCAAACCUGGGCUCACUCAAAGACCGCCACAUCGAAUCACUCCAGGAGAUCGUUCACAACCUCACUUUCCAUAUUGUUACAUUUGCAUUGUAUACCUUGAUACAUUGUUGCUGUCUGUAUACUACACUUUAUUAUUGCGUCUGAUCAGCGCUAUUGUGUUUGUUUAUUCUUGUUUUUUAUAUAUUUCACAUUUGUAAUUAAAUUUACACAUUUUUAUUAA